rnacentral:rRNA from 1 species
UACCAGCACCCCGAGUGGUCGGGACGAUUAUUGGGCCUAAAGCAUCCGUAGCCGGUCCUGUAAGUCUUCCGUUAAAUCCAGCUGCUCAACAGAUGGGCUGCGGGGGAUACUACAGGGCUAGGAGGCGGGAGAGGCAAGCGGUACUUUAUGGGUAGGGGUAAAAUCCGUUGAUCCAUAGAAGACCACCAGUGGCGAAGGCGGCUUGCCAGAACGCGCUCGACGGUGAGGGAUGAAAGCUGGGGGAGCAAACCGG